GGGCGGGUAGCUCAGUUGGAUAGAGUGUCGGCCUCCGAAGCCGAAGGUCGUGGGUUCGAAUCCCGUCCCGCCCACCA
rnacentral:tRNA from 1 species